ACGAACGCUGGCGGCGUGCUUAACACAUGCCAGUCGAACGGAAAGGCCCUGCUUUUGUGGGGUGCUCGAGUGGCGAACGGGUGAGUAACACGUGAGUAACCUGCCCUUGACUUUGGGAUAACUUCAGGAAACUGGGGCUAAUACCGGAUAGGAGCUCCUGCUGCAUGGUGGGGGUUGGAAAGUUUCGGCGGUUGGGGAUGGACUCGCGGCUUAUCAGCUUGUUGGUGGGGUAGUGGCUUACCAAGGCUUUGACGGGUAGCCGGCCUGAGAGGGUGACCGGCCACAUUGGGACUGAGAUACGGCCCAGACUCCUACGGGAGGCAGCAGUGGGGAAUAUUGCACAAUGGGCGGAAGCCUGAUGCAGCAACGCCGCGUGCGGGAUGACGGCCCUCGGGUUGUAAACCGCUUUCGCCUGUGACGAAGCGUGAGUGACGGUAAUGGGUAAAGAAGCACCGGCUAACUACGUG
rnacentral:rRNA from 1 species